rnacentral:rRNA from 1 species
AUGGAGGCCGCGCACUCAGCGGCGAUAGAGCCAAAUGCUGACUUCACCUCCUAUGAGACCUGUGUUGCCGGACACUUGGAUUCGUCCCCGGCCACGGGCUCUGAACCGCCUGCGUCCGUGCCUAUCGAAUCUGAUUGGGCACCGAUCAUGGAGUUUUCCUCUGCGGAUAUCUUUCAGCACUCGCCCCUGGGCGACGUGCUAAAUUCAUUAAGGUCUCUCUCCUUGUCAGGAGACCCUUGGCCGAACUAUGUCCGGCUUGAUUGGGAAGCGGACGACGAAGAAAUUUGUUCCCCACCCACCACCCACUUAAUAGCCAUUGUCGACGACUUAACCGACAUGCUCGAUUUUGGCUCCGAAGACAUCGACGGUAUGGACGACGAUGUAGGAGACGAACAGGAACCACCGCCCACAGGGCGCUGGACUGCCACCUCAUCAUAUGAUAUAUACAUGGUGGACACCCCCAAAGAAGGCGAUGGCGAUAAGGCAAUGGAGGAUAAUCCCUCCGAGAAGCAAUCCAAGCACCGGCGUCAGCGGCGGCGCUCUAAGUCCCGUCAUAGCAAAAGCAGAGAUACCGGCACAAGAGAUAAUAACACUGCAGAUAAUGCCGAAGACGAAGACAAUCCCCUCCAGCCAGGCUUCGAGCAGGAGGAUGGGCAAGCUAGCCCUAAGGAACAGGCAGCAGACGAAGAAUCAGAGGAUGAUAAUUACAUGCCUCUCUCCAAAGACGAGGUGAGCUUCGGCGACGAAGAAUUUAUCGUGCCU